rnacentral:rRNA from 1 species
UACGAAGGGGGCUAGCGUUGCUCGGAAUUACUGGGCGUAAAGCGCACGUAGGCGGCUUUCUAAGUCGGGGGUGAAAUCCUGGAGCUCAACUCCAGAACUGCCUUCGAUACUGGAAAGCUCGAGUCCGGGAGAGGUGAGUGGAACUGCGAGUGUAGGGGUGAAAUUCGUAGAUAUUCGCAAGAACACCAGUGGCGAAGGCGGCUCACUGGCCCAGUACUGACGCUGAGGUGCGAAAGCGUGGGGAGCAAACAGG